AUUUGGCAAAAGGUCGCAAAGUUCAAGGGGGCCGAAUACUUUCGCAAGGCACUGUAGCAUUACCUAGCUUGCUUUUGGCUGAAUGUAGUCACAUUAAGAGAAAUUCCAACGCAGCCUUGUUGGCAAAUAGGAACACUGGAAUGUGAGAUGUAAUCUACACCUCCAUUAGGAACACUGGAAUGUGAGAUGUAAUCUACACCUCCAUUAGGAACACUGGAAUGUGAGAUGUAAUCUACACCUCCAAUAGGAACACUGGAAUGUGAGAUGUAAUCUACACCUCCGUUAGGAACACUGGAAUGUGAGAUGUAAUCUACACCUCCGUUAGGAACACUGGAAUGUGAGAUGUAAUCUACACCUCCAUUAGGAACACUGGAAUGUGAGAUGUAAUCUACACCUCCAUUAGGAACACUGGAAUGUGAGAUGUAAUCUACACCUCCAUUAGGAACACUGGAAUGUGAGAUGUAUUCUACACCUCCAUUAGGAACACUGGAAUGUGAGAUGUAAUCUACACCUCCAUUAGGAACACUGUAAUGUGAGAUGUAAUCUACACCUCCAUUAGGAACACUGGAAUGUGAGAUGUAAUCUAAACAUCCAAUAGGAGGAUUGAAAUCCUCAUUAUUCUGUUUUUAACAAUUUUUGAUUUAAGCAUCAUUAUUUCUAUUAUAGCCAACACUUUCUCCUCCUGAACUCUUUCUGGCUUUGUGACAAUGAUCGUAAGAGCAGCUGCUCACCGAUUUCACAGUUCCAACUCAGUUCCACCAUCUCCAAAACAUCAGCUAUGCUGGUGUCGUCUGUCGCCGUUUUAAUGCCUGAUCUGAUUGAAUCUAGGCCUCAGUCUCCCAUUGACAUCAAUGCAUGACUAAGUGGAAAUUCAACUGAAGUGGAAGUCAGGAGUUGGCUCUUUAGACACGUUUUCUGAUUCAUUAGAGAUGUUCCUGUCUCCAAUACAAAGCUCUUUAUUUUUCGACUUCACUUACCCCCCCCGUUGUCAGUCGGAUGUUAUUUUUUCCUAUCUGUAAUUGGCAUCAGCACCCCCCCCAAAAAAAUCUACAUCCCAUUUUCUAAUGUUAAAAAUGGUGUACAAAUGUUUUUUUUUUCAUUGUAGUCAUUAAAGUGUACAGUUACGAUGUA
ensembl:lncRNA